rnacentral:rRNA from 1 species
GACGAACCGUGCGAACGUUAUUCGGAAUCACUGGGCUUAAAGCGCGUGUAGGCGGGCCGGCACGUCGGUCGUUGAAAUCCCCCGGCUCAACCGGGGAAGCGGCGCCGAUACGACCGGCCUCGAGGGACGUAGGGGGGGCUGGAACUUCCGGUGGAGCGGUGAAAUGCGUUGAGAUCGGAAGGAACGCCCGUGGCGAAAGCGAGCCCCUGGACGUCUACUGACGCUGAGACGCGAAAGCCAGGGGAGCCGGAACGGG